UUAAGUUGACCACAUAAAAUAUACCAUCUCCUUUAAUUAUAUGCAUUCAUCUUAGUAAGUCGUAAACCCAGACGUUUUCUAACCAAGGUUGAUGCGUAAAAUUAAAGGAGAGAGGAUAUUUUAUGUGGUUAACUUAACU
rfam:Capsicum annuum cultivar Zunla-1 chromosome 2, whole genome shotgun sequence